ACCAAAUGGGAGACAAUAGCACCUGCGGGGACAGAGAGCCCAGACAUCAAGCUCUUUGGGAAGUGGAGCACCCAUGAUGUGCAUGCAGAUCAAUAACAUUUCCCUGCAGGAUUACAUUGCAGUGAAGAAGUAUGCCAAGCACCUGCCUCACAGUGCAGGGUAGUAUGCCGCCAAACGCUUCCGCAAAGCUCAGCACCCCAUUGUGGAGUGCCGCACUCACUCCAUGAUGCCGCAACAACUGCAAGAAACUCGUGACCUUGCGCAUCACCAAGCAUGCCUUCGAGACCAUUCACCUGCUCACAGGAGAGGACUCUCUGCAGGUCCUGGUGAACGCCAUCAUCAACAGUGGUCCCCGGGAGGACUCCAUACGUAUUGGGCGAGCCGAGCCUGGGCCGUGAGACCACAGGCUGUGGAAGUGUCCCCCUUGUGCCGUGUGAAUCAGGCCAUCUGGCUGUUGUCCACAGGUGCUCGUGAGGCCC
rnacentral:lncRNA from 1 species